CUCUACACUCAAAUUAAUUUACUGAUAGAAUCUAAGUGCAGAAAGCACAUAGAUUGAGAACGAGAGAGAGAAAAAUCAUUCUAUGUGCAACACAUGAAAAUUAAAAGUUGCAUUAUUAUAUUUCAUUCUUCCUGUGAUAUAUUUAGAGUGCAGCAACAUAAAAAGCAACCCUGUCAACAUAAAAUCCAAACGCAAGCAUAACAAUCAUGGAACGAACAUGGCGCGCGCAGAAAACACACUUUGUCGUGAAAAAUUUCAUUUUCAUACGUGGUGCUCCGUUGACCGAGUUGCUUGCUGUUAAUGAAGAGAAUUGCACUACAUUGUUUGCCGCUUCGCCACCCUCACCAAGGACGAUUUCGUAAACGAUUUGGGAGCUGCCGGAUACAGCUGCGACUGGAAGCUUGCAGUUGCGACUCACGUGCUAAAAUACCUAAUCCAUUAGUGUUAAGUUCAAGUAUUAAGUUCAAUAAAAUCAGCUUGGUCGUAAAUG